rnacentral:rRNA from 1 species
AUUGAACGCUGGCGGCAUGCCUUACACAUGCAAGUCGAACGAGACCUUCGGGUCUAGUGGCGCACGGGUGCGUAACGCGUGGGAAUCUGCCCUUGGGUUCGGAAUAACAGUUAGAAAUGACUGCUAAUACCGGAUGAUGUCUUCGGACCAAAGAUUUAUCGCCCAGGGAUGAGCCCGCGUAGGAUUAGCUAGUUGGUGGGGUAAAGGCCUACCAAGGCGACGAUCCUUAGCUGGUCUGAGGGGAUGAUCAGCCACACUGGGACUGAGACACGGCCCAGACUCCUACGGGAGGCAGCAGUGGGGAAUAUUGGACAAUGGGCGAAAGCCUGAUCCAGCAAUGCCGCGUGAGUGAUGAAGGCCUUAGGGUGUAAAGCUCUUUGUCAGGGAGAAACGGUGAGUUCUAAUAAAGCUUGCUAAUGACGGUACCUGAAGAAUAAGCACCGGCUAACUACGUGCCAGCAGCCGCGGUAAU